GGAUACUGGGGCUGCUAGGCGUGGCCAUCCCGCUGACAAGCGGGAAGAAUCAGACGGGUUCGAUGCCCGUAGUAUCCG
rnacentral:tRNA from 1 species